rnacentral:rRNA from 1 species
CCCUUAGAUGUUCUGGGCCGCACGCGCGCUACACUGAUCAGUGCAACAAGCAUCCGUCCUUGGCCGACAGGCCCGGGCAAUCUUUGAACGCUGAUCGUGAUGGGGAUAGACUUUUGCAAUUUUUGGUCUUCAACGAGGAAUUCCUAGUAAACGCAAGUCAUCAACUUGCAUUGAUUACGUCCCUGCCCUUUGUACACACCGCCCGUCGCACCUACCGAUUGAAUGGUCCGGUGAAGCCUCCGGAUUGGCGUGCACCCUCGGGUGCUGCCGAGAAGUUGGCUAAACCCUACCAUUUAGAGGAAGGUGAAGUCGUAACA